rnacentral:rRNA from 1 species
AGGACGAACGCUGGCGGCGUGCCUAACACAUGCAAGUCGAACGAGGUCCAUGGAGUGGCAACACUUCGGAAGACCUAGUGGCGAACGGGUGAGUAACACGUGAGGAACCUACCCCGGAGACCGGGAUAACUCUCCGAAAGGAGAGCUAAUACCGGAUACCCCCAUCGGAUCGCAUGGUCUGAUGAGGAAAUGGAUUCCGCUCCGGGCGGGUCUCGCGGCCCAUCAGCUUGUUGGCGAGGUAACGGCUCACCAAGGCAUCGACGGGUAGCUGGUCUGAGAGGACGAUCAGCCACACUGGGACUGAGACACGGCCCAGACUCCUACGGGAGGCAGCAGUGGGGAAUCUUGCGCAAUGGGCGAAAGCCUGACGCAGCAACGCCGCGUGGGGAUGAAGGCCUUCGGGUUGUAAACCCUUUCAGUGGGACGAAAGUUGACGGUACCACAGAAGAAGCCCGGCUAACUACGUGCCAGCAGCCGCGGUAA